UUUUCCCCCUCGCUCACUGCGCUAACUGAGAUAUUCAAUUAAGGAUUCCUCUUCCCAGUCUGAAGCGGCUCUCCAGGGCAGAUCUUCCGAGCGACCCGCCCUAUGUUAGAAAUAGGAAAAUCCAAUAAUAACAACAGAAGAAGAAAAAAAUGAAAAAAAUGAGCCAACUUUGAUCACGCAUGCUCCCUUGUCAUCCACCUUAAACACAACAUUUGUCCUAAGUUGGAAAGUCGUGGAAAAGCCAGGAAGUAACGUUACAGUAAGCCAAUCAUUUGAGGGAAGCAUCUCGUGUUUAAAAUGCCUGUGAUAUCCAAGAGAAGGUAAACAAAAAAGCUCGAUGUUUAGAAUGCAUCAACAGAGAGCUGUGUAAGAAGGCAAAUGUGAAUGUGCAAGCAGACAGUGGCACACGGGACACAGAGCAAGACUGGAGCGCUCAAUAUUCUUUGAAGGUCAGUGUCACAAUGUACCGUAAUACAUCUGCAGUUUUAAUGAGUAUUUUAGCAGCCAGAUACCAAAUAAACAGUCAUAUCAGUCAGCAUAAAGCUUGUUUUCUGUUCCCCUUUCUGUCACAUUUUCAAGUGUACUCUUAAGGAUUUUUGUAAAGUUACAAAAGUUGUAAAAUACAGUUUUCAGACCCCCUAGUUU